rnacentral:rRNA from 1 species
GUUGUAUAGUCAAGUAAUUAAGUGCAUGUGGUGGAUGCCUUGGCAGUCAGAGGCGAUGAAAGACGUGAUAGCCUGCGAAAAGCUCCGGGGAGGCGGCAAAUAUCCUUUGAUCCGGAGAUGUCUGAAUGGGGGAACCCACCUACUUUAAGGUAGGUAUUGCAACAUGAAUACAUAGUGUUGCAAGGCGAACGAGGGGAAGUGAAACAUCUCAGUACCCUUAGGAAAAGAAAUCAAUUGAGAUUCCCUCAGUAGCGGCGAGCGAACGGGGAUCAGCCCAUUAAGUUAUGUGUGUUUUAGUGGAACGCUCUGGGAAGUGCGAACGUAGAGGGUGAUAUUCCCGUACACGAAAGGGCACACAUAAUGAUGACGAGUAGGGCGAGGCACGUGAAACCUUGUCUGAAUAUGGGGGGACCAUCCUCCAAGGCUAAAUACUCCUGACUGACCGAUAGUGAACCAGUACCGUGAGGGAAAGGCGAAAAGAACCCCUGUGAGGGGAGUGAAAUAGAUCCUGAAACCGCAUGCAUACAAGCAGUGGGAGCACCUUCGUGGUGUGACUGCGUACCUUUUGUAUAAUGGGUCAGCGACUUAUAUUCAGUAGCGAGGUUAACCGUAUAGGGGAGCCGUAGAGAAAUCGAGUCUUAAUAGGGCGUUUAGUUGCUGGGUAUAGACCCGAAACCAGGCGAUCUAUCCAUGAGCAGGUUGAAGGUUGGGUAACACUAACUGGAGGACCGAACCCACUGUCGUUGAAAAGCCAGGGGAUGACUUGUGGAUAGGGGUGAAAGGCUAAUCAAGCCUGGUGAUAGCUGGUUCUCCCCGAAAGCUAUUUAGGUAGCGCCUCGGACGAAUACCAUAGGGGGUAGAGCACUGUUUCGGCUAGGGGGUCAUCCCGACUUACCAAACCGAUGCAAACUCCGAAUACCUAUGAGUACUAUCCGGGAGACAGACUGCGGGUGCUAACGUCCGUAGUCAAGAGGAAAACAAUCCAGACCGCCAGCUAAGGCCCCAAAAUCAUAGUUAAGUGGGAAACGAUGUGGGAAGGCAUAGACAGCUAGGAGGUUGGCUUAGAAGCAGCCACCCUUUAAAGAAAGCGUAAUAGCUCACUAGUCGAGUCGGCCUGCGCGGAAGAUGUAACGGGGCUAAAACUAUGUGCCGAAGCUGCGGAUGUAUACUUUGUAUACGUGGUAGGGGAGCGUUCUGUAAGCCGAUGAAGGUGUGUUGAGAAGCAUGCUGGAGGUAUCAGAAGUGCGAAUGCUGACGUGAGUAACGACAAAACGGGUGAAAAACCCGUUCGCCGAAAGACCAAGGGUUCCAGUCCAACGUUAAUCGGGGCUGGGUGAGUCGACCCCUAAGGCGAGGCCGAAAGGCGUAGUCGAUGGGAAAAUGGUUAAUAUUCCAUUACUUCUGUGUAAUGCGAUGAGAGGACGGAGAAGGCUAAAUCAGCCUGGCGUUGGUUGUCCAGGUGAAAGGAUGUAGGCAUGUAUCUUAGGCAAAUCCGGGGUACUCUAUGCUGAGAUCUGAUAGCAAGCUGUACUUGUACAGCGAAGUGGUUGAUGCCAUGCUUCCAGGAAAAGUCUCUAAGCUUCAGUUAUACAGGAAUCGUACCCGAAACCGACACAGGUGGUCAGGUCGAGUAGACCAAGGCGCUUGAGAGAACUCUGCUGAAGGAACUAGGCAAAAUGGUACCGUAACUUCGGGAGAAGGUACGCUGUUGUUGGUGAUGGAACUCGCUUCCUGAGCUGACGACAGCCGCAGAAACCAGGCCGCUGCAACUGUUUAUUAAAAACAUAGCACUCUGCAAACACGAAAGUGGACGUAUAGGGUGUGAUGCCUGCCCGGUGCUGGAAGGUUAAUUGAUGGGGUUAGCGUAAGCGAAGCUCUUGAUCGAAGCCCCAGUAAACGGCGGCCGUAACUAUAACGGUCCUAAGGUAGCGAAAUUCCUUGUCGGGUAAGUUCCGACCUGCACGAAUGGCAUAAUGAUGGCGGCGCUGUCUCCAGCAGAGGCUCAGUGAAAUCGAAAUCGCUGUGAAGAUGCAGUGUACCCGCGGCUAGACGGAAAGACCCCGUGAACCUUUACUGCAGCUUGACACUGAACUUUGACCUUACUUGUGUAGGAUAGGUGGGAGGCUUUGAAGCUGGAACGCUAGUUCCAGUGGAGCCGUCCUUGAAAUACCACCCUGGUAAUGUUGAGGUUCUAACUCUGUCCCGUGAUCCGGGACGAGGACCGUGUCUGGUGGGUAGUUUGACUGGGGCGGUCUCCUCCUAAAGAGUAACGGAGGAGUACGAAGGUGCGCUCAGCGUGGUCGGAAAUCACGCGUAGAGUAUAAAGGCAAAAGCGCGCUUAACUGCGAGACCCACAAGUCGAGCAGGUACGAAAGUAGGUCUUAGUGAUCCGGUGGUUCUGUAUGGAAGGGCCAUCGCUCAACGGAUAAAAGGUACUCUGGGGAUAACAGGCUGAUACCGCCCAAGAGUUCAUAUCGACGGCGGUGUUUGGCACCUCGAUGUCGGCUCAUCUCAUCCUGGGGCUGAAGCAGGUCCCAAGGGUAUGGCUGUUCGCCAUUUAAAGAGGUACGCGAGCUGGGUUUAGAACGUCGUGAGACAGUUCGGUCCCUAUCUACCGUGGGCGCUGGAAAUUUGAGAGGAUCUGCUCCUAGUACGAGAGGACCAGAGUGGACGAACCUCUGGUGUACCGGUUGUGACGCCAGUCGCAUCGCCGGGUAGCUAUGUUCGGAAGGGAUAACCGCUGAAAGCAUCUAAGCGGGAAGCCUACCUCAAGAUAAGAUUUCCCUAGGACUUUAUGUCCUCUAAAGAGCCGUUCGAGACUAGGACGUUGAUAGGUUGGAUGUGGAAGCAUAGUGAUAUGUGAAGCUGACCAAUACUAAUUGCUCGUGAGGCUUGACUAUACAACACCCAAGCAGUUG